rnacentral:rRNA from 1 species
UACGUAGGGUGCGAGCGUUAAUCGGAAUUACUGGGCGUAAAGCGUGCGCAGGCGGUUUUGUAAGCCAGGUGUGAAAGCCCCGGGCUCAACCUGGGAACUGCAUUUGAAACUGGCGGGCUUGAGUGUGGCAGAGGGGGGUGGAAUUCCGCGUGUAGCAGUGAAAUGCGUAGAGAUGCGGAGGAACACCGAUGGCGAAGGCAGCCCCCUGGGCCAACACUGACGCUCAGGCACGAAAGCGUGGGGAGCAAACAGG